rnacentral:rRNA from 1 species
GAAAUGCGAUACGUAGUGUGAAUUGCAGAAUUCCGCGAAUCAUCGAGUCUUUGAACGCAAGUUGCGCCCGAGGCUCGUCCGAGGGCAUUCCUGCCUGAGCGUCAUCGCGCCACCCACCGAACCCCUCGACCAUGUCUUUGAGGAUUCGAAGUCAUUGGCAGGAGGGUGACGAGUGAAUCUGGCCGUCCGAUCCCGAAGAGAAUCAGAGAUCGGUCGGCUGAAAUUCAGAGAGUCCCGCCGCUGUGGAGACGCGGGCUGCGAUCAGGUGAUCCGACCCUCCCUUGGCCAGGAGUUAGGAAGCGUGCGCAGUCCUCGUCGUCUCCCGAGCAGCCUUGAAUCGUCGGGACUCAGCAGGUCUCCCGGCUUUCGGCCGUCCCGUCCAACGGGACGGUCGAACAGUCGAACGGGAAACAGUCGAACGCAUCAGACCUCAGAUCAGGAAAGACUACCCGCUGAGUUUAA